CUCAAAAUGAAAGUUUCAAUAAUUAUGUUCGUAAUUGUCUUCGGACUGUACUGUGCUCUGAGUGAGAAAAGAAACAAAGCGCAAUUUGAUCAUUUUGUCUGGAGAUAUAACACAUUGAAAAAUAUCGUAGUACCUCCAAUGAAAAAUGUGACAAAGAUCUUAUAGUCUUUUCGAUCCGCUAACAUGAAACAACACUGUAAGAGAGGGGGAGCUUCUUGUCGUUAUGCCGAGGAUUGCUGCACGCUCCUGUGUCUAAGGAUGACCAAAGAAUGUAUUGCUUAAAACGUGAUUUUAAUCAAUAAAGUUUUGUUGAUUUUA